GGGACACGUGGUAUCCUGUCUGAAUAUGGGGGGACCAUCCUCCAAGGCUAAAUACUCCUGACUGACCGAUAGUGAACCAGUACCGUGAGGGAAAGGCGAAAAGAACCCCGGCGAGGGGAGUGAAAAAGAACCUGAAACCGUGUACGUACAAGCAGUGGGAGCACGCUUAGGCGUGUGACUGCGUACCUUUUGUAUAAUGGGUCAGCGACUUAUAUUCUGUAGCAAGGUUAACCGAAUAGGGGAGCCGAAGGGAAACCGAGUCUUAACUGGGCGUUAAGUUGCAGGGUAUAGACCCGAAACCCGGUGAUCUAGCCAUGGGCAGGUUGAAGGUUGGGUAACACUAACUGGAGGACCGAACCGACUAAUGUUGAAAAAUUAGCGGAUGACUUGUGGCUGGGGGUGAAAGGCCAAUCAAACCGGGAGAUAGCUGGUUCUCCCCGAAAGCUAUUUAGGUAGCGCCUCGUGAAUUCAUCUCCGGGGGUAGAGCACUGUUUCGGCAAGGGGGUCAUCCCGACUUACCAACCCGAUGCAAACUGCGAAUACCGGAGAAUGUUAUCACGGGAGACACACGGCGGGUGCUAACGUCCGUCGUGAAGAGGGAAACAACCCAGACCGCCAGCUAAGGUCCCAAAGUCAUGGUUAAGUGGGAAACGAUGUGGGAAGGCCCAGACAGCCAGGAUGUUGGCUUAGAAGCAGCCAUCAUUUAAAGAAAGCGUAAUAGCUCACUGGUCGAGUCGGCCUGCGCGGAAGAUGUAACGGGGCUAAACCAUGCACCGAAGCUGCGGCAGCGACGCUGAUGCGUUGUUGGGUAGGGGAGCGUUCUGUAAGCCUGUGAAGGUGUGCUGUGAGGCAUGCUGGAGGUAUCAGAAGUGCGAAUGCUGACAUAAGUAACGAUAAAGCGGGUGAAAAGCCCGCUCGCCGGAAGACCAAGGGUUCCUGUCCAACGUUAAUCGGGGCAGGGUGAGUCGACCCCUAAGGCGAGGCCGAAAGGCGUAGUCGAUGGGAAACAGGUUAAUAUUCCUGUACUUGGUGUUACUGCGAAGGGGGGACGGAGAAGGCUAUGUUGGCCGGGCGACGGUUGUCCCGGUUUAAGCGUGUAGGCUGGUUUUCCAGGCAAAUCCGGAAAAUCAAGGCUGAGGCGUGAUGACGAGGCACUACGGUGCUGAAGCAACAAAUGCCCUGCUUCCAGGAAAAGCCUCUAAGCAUCAGGUAACAUCAAAUCGUACCCCAAACCGACACAGGUGGUCAGGUAGAGAAUACCAAGGCGCUUGAGAGAACUCGGGUGAAGGAACUAGGCAAAAUGGUGCCGUAACUUCGGGAGAAGGCACGCUGAUAUGUAGGUGAAGUCCCUCGCGGAUGGAGCUGAAAUCAGUCGAAGAUACCAGCUGGCUGCAACUGUUUAUUAAAAACACAGCACUGUGCAAACACGAAAGUGGACGUAUACGGUGUGACGCCUGCCCGGUGCCGGAAGGUUAAUUGAUGGGGUCAGCGCAAGCGAAGCUCUUGAUCGAAGCCCCGGUAAACGGCGGCCGUAACUAUAACGGUCCUAAGGUAGCGAAAUUCCUUGUCGGGUAAGUUCCGACCUGCACGAAUGGCGUAAUGAUGGCCAGGCUGUCUCCACCCGAGACUCAGUGAAAUUGAACUCGCUGUGAAGAUGCAGUGUACCCGCGGCAAGACGGAAAGACCCCGUGAACCUUUACUAUAGCUUGACACUGAACAUUGAGCCUUGAUGUGUAGGAUAGGUGGGAGGCUUGGAAGUGUGGACGCCAGUCUGCAUGGAGCCGACCUUGAAAUACCACCCUUUAAUGUUUGAUGUUCUAACGUUGACCCGUAAUCCGGGUUGCGGACAGUGUCUGGUGGGUAGUUUGACUGGGGCGGUCUCCUCCUAAAGAGUAACGGAGGAGCACUAAGGUUGGCUAAUCCUGGUCGGACAUCAGGAGGUUAGUGCAAUGGCAUAAGCCAGCUUGACUGCGAGCGUGACGGCGCGAGCAGGUGCGAAAGCAGGUCAUAGUGAUCCGGUGGUUCUGAAUGGAAGGGCCAUCGCUCAACGGAUAAAAGGUACUCCGGGGAUAACAGGCUGAUACCGCCCAAGAGUUCAUAUCGACGGCGGUGUUUGGCACCUCGAUGUCGGCUCAUCACAUCCUGGGGCUGAAGUAGGUCCCAAGGGUAUGGCUGUUCGCCAUUUAAAGUGGUACGCGAGCUGGGUUUAGAACGUCGUGAGACAGUUCGGUCCCUAUCUGCCGUGGGCGCUGGAGAACUGAGGGGGGCUGCUCCUAGUACGAGAGGACCGGAGUGGACGCAUCACUGGUGUUCGGGUUGUCAUGCCAAUGGCACUGCCCGGUAGCUAAAUGCGGAAGAGAUAAGUGCUGAAAGCAUCUAAGCACGAAACUUGCCCCGAGAUGAGUUCUCCCUGACUCCUUGAGAGUCCUGAAGGAACGUUGAAG
rnacentral:rRNA from 1 species